rnacentral:rRNA from 1 species
CGGGGGCAUCAGUAUUCAAUUGUCAGAGGUGAAAUUCUUGGAUUUAUUGAAGACUAACUACUGCGAAAGCAUUUGCCAAGGAUGUUUUCAUUAAUCAGGAACGAAAGUUAGGGGAUCGAAGACGAUCAGAUACCGUCGUAGUCUUAACCAUAAACUAUGCCGACUAGGGAUCGGACGGUGUUAUUUUUUGACCCGUUCGGCACCUUACGAGAAAUCAAAGUGCUUGGGCUCCAGGGGGAGUAUGGUCGCAAGGCUGAAACUUAAAGAAAUUGACGGAAGGGCACCACCAGGGGUGGAGCCUGCGGCUUAAUUGACUCAACAC